GCGGUCGUGGCGGAACUGGCAGACGCGCUAGAUUCAGGUUCUAGUGUUCGCAAGGACGUGGAGGUUCAAGUCCUCUCGACCGCACCA
rnacentral:tRNA from 1 species